UCAAGGCUUAAAAUGAUCAAUAAUCAAUAUUUGCAUUGUGAAAUGUACACCGUCUACACAAUUUCUGAUUUAAAAAUAUAAUUUGUUGCAUUCUAAUUCACUUCGAUAUGUGUCAUUUGUGUCCACAUAUUUCCCCCUUAACCCUUUCACUGCUACAUUUUUUUUAAGACAUGCCCAGGUGCUCACUUUCUACUGGCAAUGAAAGUUUGGAAGUGCAUAUAUCACGGAUAUGUGCCACACGCACUUUCUGAACACUCAGCCUGGCACAGAUCUGUGUCAUGCGCAUUGAAGGGAUUAAUACUCCUCUCUAAUUUUUAAUAUUUUCAAUAGGUAAAUGACAGCUUUUAAUAGAAUACUCUGUAAUAAAACACCUUUCAGGUCCGAUGACCCAAUAACUAGUCAAGAAAAAAA
rnacentral:lncRNA from 1 species